GACAGAGGGUGCAAACGUUGCUCGGAAUCACUGGGCGUAAAGGGCGCGUAGGCGGCCUGUUAAGUCAGACGUGAAAUCCCUCGGCUCAACCGGGGAACUGCGUCUGAUACUGGCGGGCUUGAAUUCGGGAGAGGGAUGUGGAAUUCCAGGUGUAGCGGUGAAAUGCGUAGAUAUUAGGAAGAACACCAGUGGCGAAGGCGGCUCACUGGCCCGGUACUGACGCUGAGGCGCGAAAGCGUGGGGAGCAAACAGG
rnacentral:rRNA from 1 species